UUCAAUUUUUUUUUCUUAUCACAAAGCUAGUUCGUCUUUGUGUAUGUUUAAAUUUAUAUUUUUUUAUAGUUAUUGUGCUGUUUAACUUUCUUAUAAAAGAGAGUGAGGAAUUAAAAAGGUGGCCACCGAACAGAAAGUUAAACUGCAAUAUACUAUAAUAUUUUUAGUUCAUGUUUACAUUUUCAACUGAUAAAUUAUGAAUAUAAAAUUUCAAAUUAAUUUAAAUUCAAAAAUAAAAGAACACCAACAUAGAUUUCUUAAACAUUAAAAUUUUACUAUAAAUUUAAAUUACAUUUAAUCAGCACAUUAGUUGAAGUUUUAUAGGAACCGAACAUUUGGCUGGAUCAUGGACUACCCACCGACGGAGAAUUUGUCAUUGAGCUGAAGAAAAAUGUGUCAGCACUCGGCUUCGUUUCAAUCCGGAGGAAGAUUGGCAGCAGCAAAAAGAAAUUCAACUGAUAAUCAACUAUCCAAAUGAAGAAGAAUUUGUCACAAAGCUGAUGGGAAAUGUGUCAGCACUCGGCUUCGUUUCAACCCGGAGGAAGAUUGGCAGCAGCAAAAAGAAAUUCAACUGAUAAUCAACUGUCCAAAUGAAGAAGAAUUUGUCACAAAGCUGAUGGGAAAUGUGUCGGCAUUCGGCUUCGUUUCAACCCGGAGGAAGAUUGGCAGCAUCAAUAAGAAGCUCAUCUUAAUUUAGUUGUCCCCCCUUUGCGCAUUAGCGCUCAUCUCUCAUCCACUCAUCCAACACAUUCACUAUCGCCGGCCGGCAACACACAUAUAUUAUACACAUUACCCGUUUUAUAUUAUAUAGUAUUAUUAAUAUCCACAUAAUUUAAGUUAUUGUAUAUUUUUUUUUAUUAUUUGAAUGCAUUCAUAUGAUCAGUGGCGUAUUUAGGAAUUUUAGGAUAAGGGCAACACAUAUUUUGCCACCUCCCCCCCCAUUAAAAAAAAAUUAAAAAACUUCUACGCCGCGUAAUGGUCAAACUGUUAAUACCAUAGAAUACCAUGUUAUAUAAAUACUAUAGUAUUUUAUACCUCUAUGGCACACAUUUGUUGUGAAAAAUAUUAAUGAUUGACGUCACUGCGCCAGUACUCAUAAAGUACGAAAUAAAAAUUUGCCGUUCUGGACAACUGGACCCAAAGCCCCUACCUAAAUACUCCCCUGCAUAUGAUGCGUUCUCGCUUACGAUGUGGAUUAGGCCUACUGGGGACACCACAAUAAAAAAACGCGCCUCGUGUAAUACCUCAUAAAGUUAUUAAACAAUACGGACAAUGUUAUUGUACGUCGUUUAAUAAUAAAGGUGGUGUGGAA